rnacentral:rRNA from 1 species
AUUCCAGCUCCAAUAGCGUAUAUUAAAGUUAUUGCGGUUAAAAAGCUCGUAGUUGGAUUUCUGCUGAGGACGUCCGGUCCGCCCUCUGGGUGAGUAUCUGGCUCGGCCUUGGCAUCUUCUUGGGGAACGUAACUGCACUUGACUGUGUGGUGCGGUAUCCAGGACUUUUACUUUGAAAAAAUUAGAGUGUUCAAAGCGGGCUUACGCUUGAAUAUAUUAGCAUGGAAUAACACUAUAGGACUCCUAUCCUAUUUCGUUGGUCUCGGGACGGGAGUAAUGAUUAAGAGGAACAGUUGGGGGCAUUCGUAUUUCAUUGUCAGAGGUGAAAUUCUUGGAUUUAUGAAAGACGAACUUCUGCGAAAGCAUUUGCCAAGGAUGUUUUCAUCA